UACGUAGGGCGCGAGCGUUGUCCGGAUUAUUGGGCGUAAAGAGCUCGUAGGCGGCUUGUCGCGUCGAAUGUGAAAACCAGCAGCUCAACUGUGGCUUGCAUUCGAUACGGGCAGGCUAGAGUUCGGUAGGGAGGACUGGAAGUUCCUGGUGUAGCGGUGAAAUGCGCAGAUAUCAGGAGGAACACCGGUGGCGAAGGCGGGUCUCUGGGCCGAUACUGACGCUGGAGGAGCGAAAGCGUGGGGAGCGAACAGG
rnacentral:rRNA from 1 species